GGUAAAAGGAAGGAUGAACAUAGAGGUAAAAUGAUUUUUUUUCAAGGAUUUUAAAGUUUUGUAGGAACCAGCAGCAAUUAUUAUAGGAGUAGUAACACCCGCGGGGAAAAUAGCAGGGCCCGUUGAGUGGCUCAAAGGUGAAGAAAUAAAGCCCACGUUGCCACGCACGAUGGCAGUCCAUUACAAGCGAUUGAGACAACAUUUUUGCGGCAUAAACAUAUACACUUCCAUUCUCUUCGCGACAAUCGUACCAAUAACGAUAACGAUGUUGCACUCCCAAAAAACAAGUUAACACGGCUCGCGGAGGUUGACAUUUGAUGGUUCAUAUGCAUCGUACUGCAGAAGACCUAUUUGAUGAAAUGCGUGAGUAAAACAAACUCCAUUAUUGGAGCCAGCUACCUUGUGAGAAAAUAGCGUUGGAUGUUUCCUAAACAUAUACCAUUUUUAAGUAUUUAUAAUAUAAAUUGGAGUUAUGGGUAGUAAAACUUUGUUCAAGUGGCCAAAGCAAAUCACAAAUUCCCUAGUUGUGCAGUUAAUCAAGGCAGAAAAGGACGUGCACAAAGCUGUGAACAUGUUUGAUUCUGCAACUGCUGAGUAUGGUAAUGGGUUUCGUCAUGAUCAUGAAACUUUUGGUCUUAUCAUCUCUAGGUUAGUCACUGUGAACCAGUUUAGACCAGCGGAAGGGAUGCUGGAGAGAAUGAAGCAAGAAAAAUGCAUGGUUACAGAGGACAUAUUUUUAAGUAUAUGUAGGGGUUAUGGACGCGUGCAUAGGCCCCUUGAUGCCAUCAGGGUUUUCCACAAGAUGGAAGGUUUUCAGCUUAGGCCAACACAAAAGGCAUACCUUACAAUACUUGAUAUUCUUGUGGAGGAAAACCAUGUAAAGAGGGCUAUUGGUUUUUACCGUGAGAUGAGAGAAUUGGGUAUUCCAUCUAGCGUUGUUUCUCUCAAUAUUUUGAUCAAGGCCCUCUGCAAAAACAAGGAGACUGUUGAUUCUGCUUUACGAAUAUUUCAGGAGAUGCCCAACCGUGGAUGUCAGCCGGAUUCAUAUACGUAUGGUACAUUGAUUAAUGGGCUGUGUAGACUCGGAAAUAUCAGUGAGGCAAAGGAACUAUUCAAAGAGAUGGAGCAAAAAGGUUUUUCAGCUUCUGUUGUUACCUAUACUAGUUUGAUACAUGGCUUGUGUCAGUCUAAUAAUUUGGAUGAAGCUAUAGGAUUGCUUGAAGAAAUGAAAAGAAAUGACAUUGAGCCAAAUGUUUUUACUUAUAGUUCUCUGAUGGAUGGUUUAUGUAAAGGUGGUCAUUCAUCACAAGCAAUGCAGUUAUUAGAAGUAAUGGACAAAAAGCACCAUUUGCCUAACAUGGUCACUUAUAGUACUUUAAUCAAUGGACUGUGCAAAGAAAGAAAGCUUCGUGAGGCUGUGGAGAUUCUUGACAGGAUGAGGAUUCAAGGCUUGAAACCAAAUGCAGGGUUGUAUGGAAAAAUCAUAAGUGGCCUCUGUGCUGCAGGCAGUUAUCAAGAAGCUGCAAACUUCAUUGAUGAGAUGGUGCUUGGUGGUAUCUCACCAAAUCGAGCAAGUUGGAGCCUUCAUGUUAGGAUGCAUAACAUGGUAGUCCAGGGCCUUUGUAAUAAUGUUGAUCCACCUCGUGCAUUUCAGUUGUAUCUUAGUAUGCGCACUAGGUGCAUCUCUGUUGAAAUUGACACUUUUGAUUGUUUAGUCAAAUGUUUUUGCAAGAGAGGAGACCUGCACAAAGCUGCUCGGAUUCUUGAAGAGAUGGUAUUAGAUGGUUGCAUUCCAGAUGAGGGAGUAUGGAAUGUAGUAAUUGGUGGACUUUGGGACCGGAAAAAAGUGAGAGAAGCCACUGAGCAAUUGCUGGUUGAGCUGCAGCAGAAGUUUGUCGAAGCUGAAAGUUGAAGUUUGUGGUUCCAUAGAUUACAUAUAUGCAUUGAAUUGUUCUUACUGAAAACCUUUGGCAUCACAUGGUCCCCUGACUUCUUUCUGUUGUAAAAGUGACUGACCAUGCACAUAUUCGCAGAGUGCAAUUCAUAUGGCCUGACUCCUCAGGGAAAUAAUUUAUUAGAAUUUUGUUUAAUGUUGGAUUCACAUUAUGCACAUAUUUUUUACAAAAGGGGAAUACAAGCUACUAGAUAGCCACUUAAUGAUGAAUGAUGAUGAGUUAACAUUAUUAUUAACUACGGGGUAAAGUACUUCAUUGACUU